CUGCAUGUUUUAAGGGAAAGAAAAUGAUCUAGACUUUACAUGUGCAAUUUCCAUUUUAACCAUCUCAAAUAACCCUGAGGUUCUCAUCGUCAAACUAGAGAAAACAUCAGUAAGGUUCAGGCUGUCUUUUACAGAUAAGGUACUUUAUUCACUGUAUUACUAAGCACUUUAUUCAUCCUGUGGGAAAUUCAAGAAACAAUUGUCCACUGUUUGUAACAGUAUUUUUUAGCCAAUUUGGAUUGGAGCCAAUUUUGGUCCCCUAGGGGAAAUUCUUUCUCUGCAUUUAUCCCAUUUCGGCUAGUGAAUCACAUUGAAAUUUCUUAGCAUAACAAUAUGUGAUUGUGUUAUCAUUUUUUUUUUUCAUCAGGCAUGAGUGAGGCGAACACAUCGUGCGUUGGAGGAAGAGUUGCAGUGACGACUUGGACCACAGGCCAGAAGCCUGAAAUAGAUUCUUUGAGAAUCUUAAAAGUCAAACAACUGGGCCUUGCGGGGAAGACUGAUGACGUGAGAAAAAAAGGAAAAAUUUGAUGAGCAGACGUGAGCGGCAGUGGUGCUGGUGGCGCAGGAUGUCCUGGAGGAGGACGACCUCGACUACCUCAAAGGAGCUGAUGCUAGCCUUGUGCCUGAUGGGGAAACAAGUGCACAUUUGUUGUGCUCUGUCUGAGAUGGAGAAGUGUGCGCCUUGCUGGCGUACUUCAAUUGAUGCCAGCAAGCCCAGCCAGCGAGUGACCGAUAGUGGCCGGUUCUCCCUUCGUGACCCCCCCAUCCCCCCCCCUUCUGCGGCCGACAAAGCUUGAAAUAUGAUUAAAUGUAAAUGUAAAAUAAGCAAUUAAAGAAAGAACAUUCAAAACAACAAAAUAAUUGUCUGUUAUAAUAUGAUUUUAGCUGGGAUU